CACUCUUUCCAUACACAACGCCUCCUGUCUUCACAUAGACACACUUGUUGUAAUACUGGUAGUAACCUCUUUGAAAUGCUCCAGGAAUGCCUUUAGGGGUGAAAUC